UUUCUUUCAUCUGAAUGAGAAACUUCUUGUCACAUGCUCUGAGCCAUCAGGAAGCGAACCUCAAAUUGGGAUCUGAGUCUCGGUUGGUACAAGUUCUUUCAGUCAAGAGAAGUAUACCUGAUUGUACAACAGCUUUCUGGGAGUCGCUGCUUUUGUUUGUUCAUCCACCAGUGGAAGCCUGUGAGUUUGAAGAAACUUGCUCAGUUCCCAAAGCAGCUUAGUGGUGGGAGAAAUGCAGAUGGUUCACCUAGCAGGCAAGUUCUU
rnacentral:lncRNA from 1 species